CGCUCAGGACGAACGCUGGCGGCGUGCCUAAUACAUGCAAGUCGAGCGGACAGAUGGGAGCUUGCUCCCUGAUGUUAGCGGCGGACGGGUGAGUAACACGUGGGUAACCUGCCUGUAAGACUGGGAUAACUCCGGGAAACCGGGGCUAAUACCGGAUGGUUGUUUGAACCGCAUGGUUCAGACAUAAAAGGUGGCUUCGGCUACCACUUACAGAUGGACCCGCGGCGCAUUAGCUAGUUGGUGAGGUAACGGCUCACCAAGGCAACGAUGCGUAGCCGACCUGAGAGGGUGAUCGGCCACACUGGGACUGAGACACGGCCCAGACUCCUACGGGAGGCAGCAGUAGGGAAUCUUCCGCAAUGGACGAAAGUCUGACGGAGCAACGCCGCGUGAGUGAUGAAGGUUUUCGGAUCGUAAAGCUCUGUUGUUAGGGAAGAACAAGUGCCGUUCAAAUAGGGCGGCACCUUGACGGUACCUAACCAGAAAGCCACGGCUAACUACGUGCCAGCAGCCGCGGUAAUACGUAGGUGGCAAGCGUUGUCCGGAAUUAUUGGGCGUAAAGGGCUCGCAGGCGGUUUCUUAAGUCUGAUGUGAAAGCCCCCGGCUCAACCGGGGAGGGUCAUUGGAAACUGGGGAACUUGAGUGCAGAAGAGGAGAGUGGAAUUCCACGUGUAGCGGUGAAAUGCGUAGAGAUGUGGAGGAACACCAGUGGCGAAGGCGACUCUCUGGUCUGUAACUGACGCUGAGGAGCGAAAGCGUGGGGAGCGAACAGGAUUAGAUACCCUGGUAGUCCACGCCGUAAACGAUGAGUGCUAAGUGUUAGGGGGUUUCCGCCCCUUAGUGCUGCAGCUAACGCAUUAAGCACUCCGCCUGGGGAGUACGGUCGCAAGACUGAACUCA
rnacentral:rRNA from 1 species